UACGGAGGGUGCGAGCGUUGUCCGGAAUCACUGGGCGUAAAGGGCGCGUAGGUGGCGCGGCAAGUCAACGGUGAAAGCUCGACGCUCAACGUCGAGUCGGCCGUCGAUACUGCUGGGCUUGAGCACUGUAGAGGCAGAUGGAAUUCCGGGUGUAGCGGUGGAAUGCGUAGAGAUCCGGAAGAACACCGGUGGCGAAGGCGGUCUGCUGGGCAGUAGCUGACACUGAGGCGCGGACAGCGUGGGGAGCAAACAGG
rnacentral:rRNA from 1 species